rnacentral:rRNA from 1 species
GACGAACGCUGGCGGCGUGCUUAACACAUGCAAGUCGAGCGGUAAGGCCCUUUCGGGGGUACACGAGCGGCGAACGGGUGAGUAACACGUGGGUGACCUGCCCUCAGCUCUGGGAUAAGCCUGGGAAACCGGGUCUAAUACCGGAUAUGACUCCAUGACGCAUGUUGUGGGGUGGAAAGCCUUGUGCGGCUGAGGAUGGGCCCGCGGCCUAUCAGCUUGUUGGUGGGGUGAUGGCCUACCAAGGCGACGACGGGUAGCCGGCCUGAGAGGGCGACCGGCCACACUGGGACUGAGACACGGCCCAGACUCCUACGGGAGGCAGCAGUGGGGAAUCUUGCGCAAUGGGCGAAAGCCUGACGCAGCGACGCCGCGUGAGGGAUGACGGCCUGGUGUAACUACUUCU